GGGUUAGUAGUUUGGUUAUGCCACUGGUAUGUACUGGUCUUACUGAUUCCUCCUUCCUGAUGAACUGUAAUGCCAUUAAUUUGGUGUUGCAAGGAAUCUGGACUGUUACUUUGAAAAAAUUAGAGUGUUUAAAGCAGGCUAACGCUUGAAUACAUUAGCAUGGAAUAAUGAAAUAGGACGUUCGAUCCUAUUUUGUUGGUUUCUAGGAUUGACGUA
rnacentral:rRNA from 1 species